rnacentral:rRNA from 1 species
GAUGAACGCUAGCGGCAGGCCUAACACAUGCAAGUCGAACGGUGUAGCAAUACACAGUGGCGCACGGGUGCGUAACACGUAUGCAACCUACCUUACAUUGGGGGAUAGCCUUUCGAAAGGGAGAUUGAUACCGCAUAAGACAGUAACUAGGCAUCUAGUAGCUGUUAAAGAUUUAUCGAUGUAAGCUAGGCAUGCGUCCAAUUAGUUAGUUGGCGAGGUAAUGGCUCACCAAGACGAUGAUUGGUAGGGGAACUGAGAGGUCAAUCCCCCACACUGGCACUGAGAUACGGGCCAGACUCCUACGGGAGGCAGCAGUAGGGAAUAUUGGGCAAUGGGCGCAAGCCUGACCCAGCCAUGCCGCGUGCAGGAAGAAGGCGUUAUGCGUUGUAAACUGCUUUUAUACAGGAAGAAACGACCCUUGCGAGGGGCAUUGACGGUACUGUAUGAAUAAGCACCGGCUAACUCCGUGCCAGCCGCCGCCGUAAAAC